rnacentral:rRNA from 1 species
GAUGAACGCUGGCGGCGUGCCUAAUACAUGCAAGUCGAGCGAACGGACGAGAAGCUUGCUUCUCUGAUGUUAGCGGCGGACGGGUGAGUAACACGUGGAUAACCUACCUAUAAGACUGGGAUAACUUCGGGAAACCGGAGCUAAUACCGGAUAAUAUUUUGAACCGCAUGGUUCAAAAGUGAAAGACGGUCUUGCUGUCACUUAUAGAUGGAUCCGCGCUGCAUUAGCUAGUUGGUAAGGUAACGGCUUACCAAGGCAACGAUGCAUAGCCGACCUGAGAGGGUGAUCGGCCACACUGGAACUGAGACACGGUCCAGACUCCUACGGGAGGCAGCAGUAGGGAAUCUUCCGCAAUGGGCGAAAGCCUGACGGGGCAACGCCGCGUGAGUGAUGAAGGUCUUCGGAUCGUAAAACUCUGUUAUUAGGGAAGAACAUAUGUGUAAGUAACUGUGCACAUCUUGACGGUACCUAAUCAGAAAGCCACGGCUAACUACGUGCCAGCAGCCGCGGUAAUACGUAGGUGGCAAGCGUUAUCCGGAAUUAUUGGGCGUAAAGCGCGCGUAGGCGGUUUUUUAAGUCUGAUGUGAAAGCCCACGGCUCAACCGUGGAGGGUCAUUGGAAACUGGAAAACUUGAGUGCAGAAGAGGAAAGUGGAAUUCCAUGUGUUGCGGUGAAAUGCGCAGAGAUAUGGAGGAACACCAGUGGCGAAGGCGACUUUCUGGUCUGUAACUGACGCUGAUGUGCGAAAGCGUGGGGAUCAAACAGGAUUAGAUACCCUGGUAGUCCACGCCGUAAACGAUGAGUGCUAAGUGUUAGGGGGUUUCCGCCCCUUAGUGCUGCAGCUAACGCAUUAAGCACUCCGCCUGGGGAGUACGACCGCAAGGUUGAAACUCAAAGGAAUUGACGGGGACCCGCACAAGCGGUGGAGCAUGUGGUUUAAUUCGAAGCAACGCGAAGAACCUUACCAAAUCUUGACAUCCUUUGACAACUCUAGAGAUAGAGCCUUCCCCUUCGGGGGACAAAGUGACAGGUGGUGCAUGGUUGUCGUCAGCUCGUGUCGUGAGAUGUUGGGUUAAGUCCCGCAACGAGCGCAACCCUUAAGCUUAGUUGCCAUCAUUAAGUUGGGCACUCUAAGUUGACUGCCGGUGACAAACCGGAGGAAGGUGGGGAUGACGUCAAAUCAUCAUGCCCCUUAUGAUUUGGGCUACACACGUGCUACAAUGGACAAUACAAAGGGCAGCGAAACCGCGAGGUCAAGCAAAUCCCAUAAAGUUGUUCUCAGUUCGGAUUGUAGUCUGCAACUCGACUACAUGAAGCUGGAAUCGCUAGUAAUCGUAGAUCAGCAUGCUACGGUGAAUACGUUCCCGGGUCU